rnacentral:rRNA from 1 species
UACGGGGGGAGCAAGCGUUGUUCGGAUUUACUGGGCGUAAAGGGCGCGUAGGCGGCCAGCACAAGUCAGUUGUGAAAUCUCCGGGCUUAACUCGGAAAGGUCAACUGAUACUGUGCGACUAGAGUGCGGAAGGGGCAACUGGAAUUCUCGGUGUAGCGGUGAAAUGCGUAGAUAUCGAGAGGAACACCUGCGGCGAAGGCGGGUUGCUGGGCCGACACUGACGCUGAUGCGCGAAAGCCAGGGGAGCGAACGGG